rnacentral:rRNA from 1 species
CCUACGGGAGGCAGCAGUGGGGAAUUUUGGACAAUGGGCGAAAGCCUGAUCCAGCAAUGCCGCGUGCAGGAUGAAGGCCUUCGGGUUGUAAACUGCUUUUGUACGGAACGAAACGGUCUGCCCUAAUACGGCGGGCUAAUGACGGUACCGUAAGAAUAAGCACCGGCUAACUACGUGCCAGCAGCCGCGGUAAUACGUAGGGUGCAAGCGUUAAUCGGAAUUACUGGGCGUAAAGCGUGCGCAGGCGGUUAUAUAAGACAGAUGUGAAAUCCCCGGGCUCAACCUGGGACCUGCAUUUGUGACUGUAUAGCUAGAGUACGGUAGAGGGGGAUGGAAUUCCGCGUGUAGCAGUGAAAUGCGUAGAUAUGCGGAGGAACACCGAUGGCGAAGGCAAUCCCCUGGACCUGUACUGACGCUCAUGCACGAAAGCGUGGGGAGCAAACAGGAUUAGAUACCCUGGUAGUCCACGCCCUAAACGAUGUCAACUGGUUGUUGGGUCUUCACUGACUCAGUAACGAAGCUAACGCGUGAAGUUGACCGCCUGGGGAGUACGGCCGCAAGGUUGAAACUCAAAUGAAUUGACGG